AUUGAACGCUGGCGGCAGGCCUAACACAUGCAAGUCGAGCGAGCGGCGGACGGGUGAGUAAUGUCUGGGAAACUGCCUGAUGGAGGGGGAUAACUACUGGAACCGGUAGCUAAUACCGCAUACCAUCAGAUGUGCCCAGAUGGGAUAAGCUAGUCGGUGGGGUAACGGCUCACCUAGGCGACGAUCCCUAGCUGGUCUGAGAGGAUGACCAGCCACACUGGAACGGAGACACGGUCUAGACUCCGACGGAAGGCAGCAGGGGGGAAUAUUGUACAAUGGGCGCAAGCCUAAUGCAGCCAUGCCGCGUGUGGGAAGAAGGCCUUCGGGUUGUAAAGCACUUGCAGCGAGGAGGCGUUACCCGCAGAAGAGGCACCGGCGAACUCCGUGCCAGCAGCCGCGGUAAUAC
rnacentral:rRNA from 1 species